rnacentral:rRNA from 1 species
CAGCAGCCGCGGUAAUACCGGCGGCCCGAGUGGCGGCCACUAUUAUUGGGCUUAAAGCGUCCGUAGCCGGGUUGGUUAGUCUCCCGGGAAAUCUGGCCGCUUAACGGUCAGAAUUCCGGGAGAUACUGCCAGCCUAGGGACCGGGAGAGGCCGAGGGUAUUCCCGGAGCAGGGGUGAAAUCCUAUAAUCCCGGGAGGACCACCUGUGGCGAAGGCGCUCGGCUGGAACGGGUCCGACGGUGAGGGACGAAGGCCAGGGGAGCAAACCGGAUUAGAUACCCGGGUAGUCCUGGCUGUAAACGAUGCGGACUUUGUGUCGGACAAGCUAUGAGCUUGUCCGGUGCCGGAGGGAAACCGUUAAGUCCGCCGCCUGGGGAGUACGGCCGCAAGGCUGAAACUUAAAGGAAUUGGCGGG